AUUGAACGCUGGCGGCAGGCCUAACACAUGCAAGUCGAGCGGAUGAAGGGAGCUUGCUCCUGGAUUCAGCGGCGGACGGGUGAGUAAUGCCUAGGAAUCUGCCUGGUAGUGGGGGAUAACGUCCGGAAACGGGCGCUAAUACCGCAUACGUCCUGAGGGAGAAAGUGGGGGAUCUUCGGACCUCACGCUAUCAGAUGAGCCUAGGUCGGAUUAGCUAGUUGGUGGGGUAAAGGCCUACCAAGGCGACGAUCCGUAACUGGUCUGAGAGGAUGAUCAGUCACACUGGAACUAAGACACGGUCCAGACUCCUACGGGAGGCAGCAGUGGGGAAUAUUGGACAGUGGGCGAAAGCCUGAUCCAGCCAUGCCGCGUGUGUGAAGAAGGUCUUCGGAUUGUAAAGCACUUUAAGUUGGGAGGAAGGGCAGUAAGUUAAUACCUUGCUGUUUUGACGUUACCAACAGAAUAAGCACCGGCUAACUUCGU
rnacentral:rRNA from 1 species